UCUCCUGAUUUUGCCGACGACAUGCACCAC
rnacentral:sRNA from 1 species